rnacentral:rRNA from 1 species
UACGUAGGGGCGAGCGUUGUCCGGAUUUAUCGGUGGCGUAAAGCGCGUGUAGGCGGCGGAAUAAGUCGGGUGUGAAAGCCCGGGGCUCAACCCCGGGAUGCCGCUCGAGACUGUUUGGCUUGAGGACGGAAGAGGGGCGUGGAAUUCCUGGUGUAGCGGUGAAAUGCGUAGAGAUCAGGAGGAACACCCGUGGCGAAGGCGGCGCCCUGGUCCGUUACUGACGCUGAGACGCGAAAGCGCGGGGAGCGAACGGG